AGUGAACGCUGGCGGUAGGCCUAACACAUGCAAGUCGAACGGAAGCAUAGUAAGAGCUUGCUCUUACGGGUGGCGAGCGGCGGACCGGUGAGGAAUACACCGGAUUCUACUUUGUCGUGGGUGAUAACGUAGGGAAACUUAUGCUAAUACCGCAUACGUCCUAAGGGUGAAAGCAGGCGAUCUUCGGACUUUGCGCGAUUGGAGGGGCCGAUGUCGGAUUAGCUAGUUGGCGGGGUAAAGGCGCAUCAAGGCCACGAUCCGUAGCUGGUCAGAGAGGAUGACCAGAGACACUGGGACUGAGCCACGGCGCAGAAUCUUACGGGAGGCAGGAGUGGGGGAUCUUGCGCAAUGGGCGAAAGCCUGACGCAGCCAGGCCGGGUGAAUGAUGAAGGUCUUAGGAUUGUAAAAUUCUUUCACCGGGGACGAUAAUGACGGUACCCGAAGAAGAAGCCCCGGCUAACUUCGUG
rnacentral:rRNA from 1 species